rnacentral:rRNA from 1 species
UAAGGAAUAUUGGACAAUGGGCGCAAGCCUGAUCCAGCCAUGCCGCGUGCAGGAUGAAGGAGCUCAGCUCUGUAAACUGCUUUUGUUUGGGAAAAAUUCCCUGGUUUCUACCGGGGUUGAUUGUACCAAAAGAAUAAGGGACGGCUAACUUCGUGCCAGCAGCCGCGGUAAUACGAAGGUCCCAAGCGUUAUCCGGAUUUAUUGGGUUUAAAGGGUGCGUAGGCGGAUUAUUAAGUCAGUGGUGAAAGCCCCAGGCCCAACCUGGGAAUUGCUAUUGAUACUGAUGAUCUUGAGUACAUUUGAGGUAGGCGGAAUGUGUCAUGUAGCGGUGAAAUGCUUAGAUAUGACACAGAACACCAAUUGCGUAGGCAGCUUACUAAACUGUAACUGACGCUGAGGCACGAAAGCGUGGGGAGCAAACAG